UCUCCGUAGGUGAACCUGCGGAAGGAUCAUUAUUGUAUAACCGAGGUGCGAGGGCUGUCGCUGACCCGAAAGGUCGUGCACGCCCGAGUGCCCUCACACACAUCCAUCUCACCCUUAUAUGCACCACCGCGUGGGUCCCCCUUUGGCUUGUUCGGAGGGGGGCUUACGUUUUCACACAAACUUUGUAUGCAGUGUAGAAUGUAUUUUUUGUUUUUGCGAUCACGCAAUCAAUACAACUUUCAACAACGGAUCUCUUGGCUCUC
rnacentral:misc_RNA from 1 species